ACUCAAAUGAAUUGACGGGGGCCCGCACAAGCGGUGGAGCAUGUGGUUUAAUUCGACGCAACGCGAAGAACCUUACCCAGGCUCGAACGGCAGAUGACCAGCUACGAAAGUAGCCUCCCGCAAGGGCAGCUGUCGAGGUGCUGCAUGGCUGUCGUCAGCUCGUGUCGUGAGAUGUUGGGUUAAGUCCCGCAACGAGCGCAACCCUUGUCUUCUGUUGCCAUCGGGUCAAGCCGGGCACUCUGAAGAGACUGCCGGUGACAAACCGGAGGAAGGUGGGGAUGACGUCAAGUCAGCAUGGCCUUUAUGUCUGGGGCCACACACGUGCUACAAUGGCCGGUACAAACCGUUGCAAGCUCGCGAGAGUAAGCUAAUCGGAUAAAGCCGGUCUCAGUUCGGAUUGCAGGCUGCAACUCGCCUGCAUGAAGUUGGAAUCGCUAGUAAUCGCGGAUCAGCACGCCGCGGUGAAUACGUUCCCGGGCCUUGUACACACCGCCCGU
rnacentral:rRNA from 1 species